GGCCCCGAGUUCCCGAAAAUACACGUUCAAAGACCACCAACAAUUUUGCUUUUAACCUCUCUGGUCUCUAGCUCUGUGCUGAUGCUGCUGCUAUUACUACUCUCUCCAUUGCUCUAUCCUACCCUGUGAAUCGCCAAAACAUCGAUAACCCUCCUGCCUGACGGCGAUGGACGACGGUGCCGUAGCAAACAAUGUGGCUAGAGCCAUAGUUGCUGCCCUAGACUGGAGCUCCUCUUCCGAUGCCAGGAACUCCGCCGUCUCUUACUUAGAAUCUAUUAAAGCUGGGGAUGUACGUGUCUUGGCAAACACAUCGUUUAUUUUAGUCAAAAAGGACUGGUCUUCAGAAAUUCGGUUGCAUGCUUUCAAAAUGUUGCAGCAUUUGGUGCGAUUGCGAUGGGAUGAAUUAAACCCGAUCGAGCGAAGGAAUUUGGCAAAUGGUGCAGUUGAUUUGAUGUCUCAAAUUGCAAGCCCUUCUGAAGAAUGGGCUUUGAAAAGUCAGAUGGCUGCUCUUGUUGCUGAGAUAGUGAGGAGGGAAGGCCUAAACCUAUGGCAGGAGCUUCUUCCAUCUCUAGUUUCUCUUUCAAACAGUGGUCCUAUACAAGCUGAGUUGAUUUCAAUGAUGCUAAGGUGGCUUCCUGAAGACAUUACUGUACAUAAUGAAGAUUUAGAAGGUGACCGGCGCAGACUAUUGUUACGCGGGCUUACUCAGUCUUUGCCUGAAAUCUUGCCGUUACUAUAUACUUUACUUGAGCGGCACUUUGGAGCUGCGGUGAGUGAAGCAAGUAGGCAACAACUGGAUAUUGCAAAACUGCAUGCAGCUACAGUAACGGCUACUUUGAAUGCUAUCAAUGCGUAUGCUGAGUGGGCUCCUGUACCGGAUCUCUCCAAAUAUGGAUUGAUACAUGGGUGUGGUUUCUUACUUUCUUCUCCUGAUUUUCGACUUCAUGCUUGUGAGUUUUUCAAACUCGUCUCAUCAAGGAAGAGACCUGUUGAUGACACUGCUUCAGAAUUUGAUUCCACAAUGAGUAAUAUCUUUCAGAUAUUGAUGAAUGUCUCUGGAGAUUUCUUGAUCAGAUCUAGCUCAAAUGUUGGUGGCACUGAUGAAAGUGAAUUUGAGUUUGCGGAAUACAUUUGCGAGAGUAUGGUGUCUUUGGGUUCCUCAAACUUGCAAUGUAUAACUGAGGAUAGCACAACUCUAUCAUUAUAUGUUCAGCAGAUGCUAGGAUACUACCAGCAUAUGAAGCUGGUGCUUCAUUAUCAAUCUCUGCUUUUUUGGCUGGCACUGCUGAGAGAUAUUGCAUCCAAACAAAAGAAUGUGGCACAUGCAUCUACAGAUGGUUUAGUUAAAAAUCUGACGUCUGGUUUGGGACAAGGCGUCAAUGAAAAGCAAAAGGUUUCAAUUUUUGUGACCAAUGAUGUCUGUAGUUGUCUACUGGAUAUAUCCUUCCAACGCAUGCUCAAGAAAGAAAGAGUUCUUCCUGGAUCAGCACUUCCUGUUGGGUCACUGGAACUAUGGAGUGAUGAUCUUGAGGGCAAAGGAGAUUUCGGCCAAUAUCGUUCCAAGCUUUUGGAGCUUAUCCGUAUUAUUGCUUCUAUUAAACCCAUAAUAGCUGCUGCUAACAUUUCUGGGAGGAUAACUGCAAUUAUUAAGAGUAUCAUGCUUGCUGCAGUGCCUGCACAGGAAUUGUUUGUAAUGGAAAGCAUGCAAUCGGCUCUGGAGAAUGUUGUUGUUGUAGUUUUUGAUGGAUCAAAUGACUCUGGUGGCAGUUUAUCUGAAACUCAACUGGAAUUGUGCCGGAUAUUUGAAGGUUUACUUCAGCAACUUCUUUCCUUGAAGUGGACUGAGCCGACACUUGUGGAAGUACUCGGGCAUUACAUAGACGCGAUGGGUCCCUUUUUGAAAUACUUCCCGGAUGGGGUUGGCAGUGUCAUCAACAAACUGUUUGAGCUUCUAACCAUAUUGCCUUUCGUGUUGAAGGAUCCCUCAACAAGUACUGCUCGACAUGCAAGGUUGCAGAUUUGUACAUCAUUUAUUCGAAUUGCCAAAGCUGCUGACAAAAGCCUUCUGCCUCAUAUGAAGGGAAUUGCAGACACCAUGGCAUAUUUGCAAAAAGAAGGCCGUUUGCUUCGUGCGGAGCAUAAUCUGUUGGGUGAAGCAUUUCUUGUCAUGGCUUCUGCAUCUGGGGUUCAACAGCAGCAAGAAGUUUUAGCCUGGUUACUCGAACCUUUGAGUAAAGAGUGGACACAGCUGGACUGGCAAAAUGCUUACUUGUCUGACCCAACAGGCUUGGUUCGCUUGUGCUCUGAGACUCAAUUUAUGUGGUCACUUUUUCACACUGUGACCUUUUUUGAGAAGGCUCUUAAGAGGAGUGGUUUCAGGAAAGCCACAAUAAGCUCACAGAACAACUCAGCAGGAUGUUCCGGUCCUUUGCAUCCAAUGGCUUCUCAUCUAUCGUGGAUGCUGCCUCCUCUGUUAAAAAUACUUCGAGCUAUACAUUCCCUUUGGUCUCCAUCUGUAACUCAAGCAUUACCUGCAGAAAUAAAAGGAGCAAUGGCCAUAAGUGAUGCUGAGGGAACCACUCUUCUUGGCGAAGCAAACUCGAAAUUGUCAAAGGGGGCAUUAACUUUGUCUGAUUUAUCUCAAAUUGACUUGCAUAAGGAAGGUUAUCCAGAAUCUAAUGAGAUUGAUAUGCGAAAUUGGUUGAAAGGUAUACGCGAUAGUGGGUACAAUGUACUGGGCUUAUCAGCAACCAUUGGGGAUUCAUUUUUCAAAUGUUUGGACGUUCAUCAUGUUGCCCUAGCACUGGUGGAGAAUAUUCAGUCAAUGGAGUUCAGGCAUAAAAGACAGCUCGUUCAUUCAAUCUUGAUUCCAUUAGUAAAAUGCUGCCCUCCAGGUUUGUGGGAGGGGUGGCUAGAGAAGCUCCUGCACCCAUUGCUUCUCUGUAUUCAGCAGGCUCUUAGCUGCUCAUGGUCCAGUCUGUUACAGGAAGGCAGAGCAAAGGUUCCAGAUCUACAUGGAAUAGUUUCUGGAUCAGACUUGAAGGUUGAAGUAAUGGAGGAAAAGCUACUUCGAGGGCUAACUCGUGAGAUUUGUUCGCUCCUCUCAGUUUUAGCUUCAUCAGGACUAAAUGCUGGGCUUCCUAAUUUAGAACAGUCGGGACAUGUCAACCGUGUGGAUGCAUCAUCUCUCAAAGAUUUGGAUGCAUUUGCGUCAACUUCACUUGUUGGUUUUGUUUUGAAGACAAAAGCCCUUGCCCUUCCGGCAUUGCAGAUUACUUUAGAUGCUUUGAAAUGGACUGAUGGUGAAGCUGUGACUAAAGUUUCCUCCUUUUGCGGAGCUGUGAUUCUUCUGGCCAUCUCAUCCAAUAAUGUGGAACUCAGACAAUUUGUCUCAAAAGAUUUAUUUUACGGAAUCAUCCAAGGGUUGGCCCUCGAGUCAAAUGCUUUUAUUAGUGCUGAUCUGGUUGGUCUCUGCCGUGAAAUCUUCUUGUAUCUCUCUGAUAGAGACCCGGCACCCAGGCAGAUCUUGCUCUCUCUUCCUUGCAUUGCUCCCCAAGAUUUGCUUGCUUUUGAAGAAGCCUUGACAAAGACAACUAGUCCUAAGGAACAAAAGCAACAUAUGAGGAGCUUGCUCAUACUAGCUACAGGAAACAAGUUAAAGGCACUUGCUGCUCAGAAAAGCGUGAAUGUAAUUACCAAUGUUUCGACAAGACCACGCAAUUUGGUCUCUGCUCCAGAAUCCAAGAUUGGAGAAGAGGAUGAUGCUAUAGGAUUGGCAGCCAUUACAUGAAUGAAAAGUUGUGUCAGAUUCCGCUGUACAGUGACGACUAACUCUGAAGGCACCCAUUAUUUUGGGCAGAAGUCUACAAAAGAGUUCAGCUUAGGCAAACCGGAGCUAAAAUUCUUGGGAUUGGGUGUCCGCUCCUAAGGAUGGAGGCUUGGGUUUAAGCCUUUUAAAACCUGGAAUAAAGCAACGAUGAUUAGGCAUCUCUGGGCCUUGAGCAAGAAAUAUGAUUCUUUGUGCUGUUCGAUGGGCUCACUCUUACAUUAUAAAACAUAAGUGUCUUUGGCAGAUGUGCAUACCUCAGGACUCUUCUUGGACGAUU